rnacentral:tRNA from 1 species
CAGGGCGUAGCUACAGCACAAAGCAUUCAGCUUACACCUGAAAGAUAUCUGCCACCCACCAGAUCGCCCUGA